AACGAACGCUGGCGGCAUGCCUAACACAUGCAAGUCGAACGAGACCUUCGGGUCUAGUGGCGCACGGGUGCGUAACGCGUGGGAACCUGCCCUUAGGUUCGGAAUAACUCCCCGAAAGGGGUGCUAAUACCGGAUAAUGUCUUCGGACCAAAGAUUUAUCGCCUUUGGAUGGGCCCGCGUUGGAUUAGCUAGUUGGUAGUGUAAAAGCCUACCAAGGCGACGAUCCAUAGCUGGUCAGAGAGGAUGAUCAGCCACACUGGGACUGAGACACGGCCCAGACUCCUACGGGAGGCAGCAGUGGGGAAUAUUGGACAAUGGGCGAAAGCCUGAUCCAGCAAUGCCGCGUGAGUGAUGAAGGCCUUAGGGUUGUAAAGCUCUUUUACCCGGGAUGAUAAUGACAGUACCGGGAGAAUAAGCUCCGGCUAACUCCGUG
rnacentral:rRNA from 1 species